AGUAACAGGGGCGAGUAGAAUGGUAGUCGGGCACACAAUCGAGGCUCCUCUCGGGAUCAACUCAGGAUUGUGAGAGGCAAAUUGGCUCAUCUCCAACUCAGCAAAGCUUUGAUCCCUGUUCGCCACCGCCUCACGAGCUCUUUGGCCUACAAGAAAGCAAUUAUCAAGGACACUCCCUCUUCAUCCCCGGAUUCUCUCGAGGAAUCCCUUGCUGCUGGGCCUGGUGAGGGAUUUUUGUUUCAGCACAUGCUCGGGAUCAACUCCGUUUGUAGGAACCAGGUGUUUCGAGUUGACGUAGGGCUGUCGAGUGGCUGUGCCAGCCAACACUGCUCCUGAAGUUUUGGAAAUCCGACACAGCACUGAUGUCUGGGUUCUCUUGAAAGAGAAGGAGAAGCAGAAGGCGCCACCGCAAGCAUCGCGUGGUUUAGCUUCGUUUUUAGAUCGAGUUUCCGAGAGUUUGAGGGCUGGUUUCAACGAUGCUGUGCUAGGAUGCUGUGCCAGGUAACCUGAUGCUGGCGUAGGAGCAGCACUUGGGGCUGCAGCUCAAAAUUGCAAAGCUGUGGAUUAUGAGGCAGAGAUUGAUCAUUACAUAGUUGUGAAAUUUAUAUAUAUCCAACUGUAGUCUGCAUUUCUAUUCUGCAUAAACUUCUAUACAAACUCAAUUAAAAAUAUAUAUAUAUAAUCAAACCUA